GAGAGAGAGGAUCAGCAGCCGCAGCAGCAGCAACCGCAGCAAUGGCGGAGGAACUCCAAGGGAAAUGGACAAAGGUUUGUAUCCGUAAUUUCACGGAAUUUCUCAGCUUCAAUUCUGUUCUUAGCCCCUGCAACCUUCGUGUUUCUCCGUAGUCUCUGUAAUUUUCUUAUAUCAGCGUAGGCCGCCGCCGUCCUCCGACAAUCGGGUUUCCUUCCUUCCGUCACGUAGGUCUUCUUGCUUUCUCGCUGUGCAGUCGAUUGUCCGAUCUUCGCUGGUUUUAAUUCUGACGUAAAUAAGAAAACUGUUGCGUAAUUGGGGACACCCGGAACAAUUUUAUCUGGAUCGAGUGGUCUUCGGAAGAAAUCAAGUCGGCAUAACGGACUAUGAUGGAGAUGAAAAUUUCAUAUUGAUUGAAGCAAUCGGGAUAUAUUUAAUUUAAAGGAAUUAGAUAAGAAUUGUGCUUAUGGUUUAAUUGAAUCUUAUAUAUGUAUGCAUCUGGCAUGCCUGUGUAAAUCUUGAGUGAGAAGCUGAAUCUGUUAGAAGAAGGCUCGCCUUGUUCGGAGUCCGGUGGAUGCGUAGUUUUUCAGAGCUGUCGAGUGGGAGCGGGCAGCCAUGGCAUCCGUAGACGGUCGCUGGUCUCCACGAACGGCCAUGCGACCGUCUGCGAAUGUGCUGUUGCCCCCGAACGUCCGCGCGCUCGGCUCGGCAGCUCGCCGUGGCGAACAGAACCGAGCACCGCCGGCGUUCGUUAAUCCCCGCCCGUCGCGAAAGGAGCUGAGCACGGUGGCGCGCUCGGCUCCGUUCGAGAAUGC
rnacentral:lncRNA from 1 species